rnacentral:rRNA from 1 species
UCCUGCCGGAGGUCAUUGCUAUUGGAGUCCGAUUUAGCCAUGCUAGUUGCACGAGUUCAUACUCGUAGCAGAUAGCUCAGUAACACGUGGCCAAACUACCCUAUGGAUCCGGAUACCCUCGGGAAACUGAGACUAAUCCGGAAUACGAUUCUCAGCCUGGAAGUGCCGAGAAUCAGAAACGCUCCGGCGCCAUAGGAUGUGGCUGCGGCCGAUUAGGUAGACGGUGGGGUAACGGCCCACCGUGCCAAUAAUCGGUACGGGUUGUGAGAGCAAGAGCCCGGAGACGGUAUCUGAGACAAGAUACCGGGCCCUACGGGGCGCAGCAGGCGCGAAACCUUUACACUGCACGCCAGUGCGAUAAGGGGACUCCGAGUGCGAGGGCAUAUAGUCCUCGCUUUUUGUAACCGUAGGAAGGUUCCAGAACAAGUGCUGGGCAAGACCGGUGCCAGCCGCCGCGGUAAUACCGGCAGCACGAGUGAUGACCGCUAUUAUUGGGCCUAAAGCGUCCGUAGCUGGCCGGGCAAGUCUAUCGGGAAAUCUGCACGCCUAACGGGCGGGCGUCCGGUGGAAACUGCGCGGCUUGGGACCGGAAGACCAGAGGGGUACGUCUGGGGUAGGAGUGAAAUCCCGUAAUCCUGGACGGACCGCCGGUGGCGAAAGCGCCUCUGGAAGACGGAUCCGACGGUGAGGGACGAAAGCUCGGGUCACGAACCGGAUUAGAUACCCGGGUAGUCCGAGCUGUAAACGAUGUCUGCUAGGUGUGUCACAAACUACGAGUUUGUGAUGUGCCGUAGGGAAGCCGUGAAGCAGACCGCC